GCAUAUCAAUAAGCGGAGGAAAAGAAACUAACAAGGAUUCCCCUAGUAACUGCGAGUGAAGCGGGAAAAGCUCAAAUUUAAAAUCUGGCGGUCUUUGGCUGUCCGAGUUGUAAUCUAGAGAAGUGUUAUCCGCGCUGGACCGUGUACAAGUCUCCUGGAAUGGAGCGUCAUAGAGGGUGAGAAUCCCGUCUUUGACACGGACUGCCAGGGCUUUGUGAUGCGCUCUCAAAGAGUCGAGUUGUUUGGGAAUGCAGCUCAAAAUGGGUGGUAAAUUCCAUCUAAAGCUAAAUAUUGGCGAGAGACCGAUAGCGAACAAGUACCGUGAGGGAAAGAUGAAAAGAACUUUGGAAAGAGAGUUAAACAGUACGUGAAAUUGCUGAAAGGGAAACGCUUGAAGUCAGUCGCGUUGUUUGGGAAUCAACCUUGCUUUUGCUGGGUGUACUUUCCAGAUCGACGGGCCAGCAUCAAUUUUGACCGUUGGAUAAAGGUUGGAGGAAUGUGGCAUCUUCGGAUGUGUUAUAGCCUCUAGUUGCAUACAACGGUUGGGAUUGAGGAACUCAGCACGCCGCAAGGCCGGGUACUUGUACCACGUUCGUGCUUAGGAUGUUGGCAUAAUGGCUUUAAUCGACCCGUCUUGAAACACGGACCAAGGAGUCUAACAUGCCUGCGAGUGUUGGGGG
rnacentral:rRNA from 1 species